UACAGAGGUCUCAAGCGUUUGUUCGGAUUCAUUGGGCGUAAAGGGUGCGUAGGCGGCGCGGUAAGUCGGGUGUGAAAUUCGACGGGCUUAACUCGAAACUGCAUUCGAUACUGCCGUGCUUGAGGACUGGAGAGGAGACUGGAAUUUACGGUGUAGCGGUGAAAUGCGUACGAUAUCGUAAGGAAGACCAGUGGCGAAGGCGGGUCUCGUGGACAGUUCCUGACGCUGAGGCAACGAAGGCCAGGGGAGCAAACGG
rnacentral:rRNA from 1 species